CAAAAAAGAGCCGAUGCCCUCGCUUCUAGAAUCUAUUAUCCCUGAAUUAAUGAUGGAACAGGAGCAGUGGUAUCCCCCCACUGAGACAUGAACCAGAUUUCAACCCGUAGCUCCCUCGAGUUAAGGGCCAGCAUCUCUCUGACAGGACAUCUGGUCCCUGAGCAUGGCCACCAGGGGGUCGAUGUCGCCACCUUAAUUGUAAUGUUUCCCUCUUCCUCCCAGUCCAAAACUAGGGCAGCUUUCCAUAAAAGGAGAAGAGAAGAGGGGGAGCCACUAUGUGCUGGGCCGUGUCGGCAUGCCACAUCAUUUAGGCUGACAGCUCUAAUAAAUUACAGCAACAGAUCGCUGUGAACAAACAAAGCUUAAUGGAAAUAAAGUGAGCAUUAUCAGCCCAGAAAUAAAAGGAAAAAAAAGGAUGAAAUUAGCGCAAAGAGAGUGGAUGAAAGGGUGUCAGGCCCACAUAGCAUAAGCAUUAAAAUGGGCAAAUUGCCACUUUGAACGAUAGGAAAUGUUUUGUUCUCAUUAUUACUUCUGUUCAAAAUGGAGAAUAAUGUGAGAGUCCCCGAGCAGACAUAAAGCAUCAUGCAUCUAACUCUUCAAAAUCAUCCUCCCCUAUUGCCUGAACCCCUCCCAGCUCCCCUUGUUUUGCCUCCCAGAAAACAAUGCCGCAGAUUGUUCUGCUCUGAAGGACCUUUCCCCCAUCAAUCCAGCCAAGCCAGAGAAAGCCUGGAAGCCCAUGUUGUUAAAAAGCUUAGGCAUGUGGAAGAGAACGACAACAGAUGGAAGCAGGUGAAAUGGUAUGUCAGGGGAAAUGUUUGUCAGGCCCUAUCAGUAUGAGAGCUGUCCAUCCAGACCUUCAAAAGAACGGCCGGGCAGAGAGCACUCGGCUUUCAGGUCCACUCCACUUUGUCCAUGACGGGAAAAAAGCCCAAUGGCAGAAAGAAGUAUACUGAACUGAACUAUAAAAGAUAAAAGAUUGCUAUAAAGAAGAGCUAACCUCAUCAGGACACGAACUACCAGCUGCAGAAUUAGUGAUGUCUAAAUGCAGUUCAAAAGAAAGUAAAACUCCUUCCUUGACACAGUGAAUACAGUGCCU